rnacentral:RNase_P_RNA from 1 species
GCCGUGGGCUACUCCAUCGUGGAUAUUUCCUGCCUCCAACCAAAAAACCCACCAGUUUUUCUGGACUCGGCAGGAAUAUUCGAGGAAAGUCCGGACAACGCAGCGCGCCGCGCCACCUAACGGGUGGGGUUUUGCCGGCUUGCCGGUAAAGCACAGAAAGUGUCGCAGAAAACUAUACCGCCACGGCUUUCGGGCCGGGGUAAGGGUGAAAACGUGCGGUAAGAGCGCACGCUUCCGGUUGGUAACAGCAGGAAGGGAUAAACCUCGCGGGUUGAAAUGCCAUGUACAUCCCGGUCGUUCGGGUGCAGCCUGGCUGCACAGAACUACAGAGUUGCGCGCUCAGGUUUCCUUUUGGAAAGCCGGGAGGGGUAGGCAGCUAGAUCCUGCCGGUGACGGCAGGGCCAGAUAAAUGAUGGAGAUUCCGGCUUCGGUCGGAAUUACAGGAUCCGGCUUAUUGGUCCGCGGCGAUU